rnacentral:rRNA from 1 species
UACGUAGGGUGCAAGCGUUGUCCGGAAUUAUUGGGCGUAAAGGGCUCGUAGGCGGUCCAUCGCGUCGGGAGUGAAAAGCUGGGGCUUAACCCCAGUCCUGCUUCCGAUACGGGUGGACUAGAGGUAGGUAGGGGAGAACGGAAUUCCUGGUGUAGCGGUGAAAUGCGCAGAUAUCAGGAGGAACACCGGUGGCGAAGGCGGAUCUCUGGGCCUUACCUGACGCUCAGGCGCGAAAGCUAGGGGAGCGAACUGG